rnacentral:sRNA from 1 species
UAAAAUGGCUGACGUUUGUAAACAUUACUGUGAUUACAUAUGUAUCUUCUUAGGAUUUGACAUAAAUGUGUAGAAUCUAGUUAUGGUACAGAAUUUAGAGGCUAUUAGUUAACUGAAGUGAAAAGUCACAAUGUCUUUCAAGUCUGGGUAUCAGGGAGGGCCUUACUAUGAACUCCUAAGUACCCAAGGGAAAGACUCAUUAAGCAAUUGGAAAGUAUCAAAUUCAGGCAUU